GACAGCAGUAGCCACGGUAAUACGAAGGGGGCUAGCGUUGUUCGGAAUUACUGGGCGUAAAGCGCACGUAGGCGGAUAUUUAAGUCAGGGGUGAAAUCCCGCAGCUCAACUGCGGAACUGCCUUUGAUACUGGGUAUCUUGAGUAUGGAAGAGGUUAGUGGAAUUGCGAGUGUAGAGGUGAAAUUCGUAGAUAUUCGCAGGAACACCAGUGGCGAAGGCGGCUAACUGGUCCAUAACUGACGCUGAGGUGCGAAAGCGUGGGGAGCAAACAGGAUUAGAUACCCCUGUAGUCCCUGUCUCUUAUAC
rnacentral:rRNA from 1 species